AAACUCCUCGGUGGUCUCCUGGGCUUCGCCGACUUGUGGGUGUGGCGUGUGGGGGCCGAACGGUGGCGAAUGGAAAAGCUGAGGUAAGCGGAGCCACCUCCCUCGCCCAAGCCCGGCUCCCCGCCGCCGCCCCAGCCCGCCCUCUCCGCGACCCCGAGCCCGGCCUCUCCCCGACCCCGAGCCCGGCCUCUCCCCGACCCCGAGCCCGCCCCUGCCGUCGCCCGUUCUAACUCCGUCAGCUCACCCCGCACUCGAGGCAGGAGCAACCGCAGCUCCUCCGCCAAGUGCCGGAGCUGCUCCAAAGGCGAAGCCAGGGUGGGGACUGCGGCUGCAGGUGCAGUUGCGCUCGCCAUCUCAGUCGCUUGCCGAAGGCCGCAAACACAGGCCUCCGCUGCCACUGCCGGAGCCGCACUGCGACAGCCGCUCCACUUCCGGGCCACAGCGUCAAGGGCUCGUUUCCGUCAACAAGCCGUCCAGCCCCGUCCCAGAGGCCCUGCCCUGCCUCCUCCCGCCACGAGGCCCGGCCCCGCCCGAGGUCCAGCACCACCCAUCCCGUUAUCAGAGACCAGGCCUGGCCCCGCCUCCUCCCGCCCCGCCCUGUCCCCUGAGGUACAGCACCAACCAUCCCACUCUCAGAGGCCAGGACAGGCCACGCCUUCUCUUGCCCCUUAGGCCAGGCUACACAAGCAAGCCUCAGGCUCACCGUCUUUCUUAUUCAUCAUUCAUUCAUUUAUUUGAUUAGUUGAAAACACUUCCGACUAAGGAAGCAGAGAGCCCACAAUCCUGUGGGAAAACAGGCCUGGGAACUAAUAUCUCAGGGGUAGUGAGGGUCGGGCCCAGAUCCUCAAAGGGGAGAAUAAAAAAGCUAGGGUGCCGUAUGUUGCAUAAAGAAAGUAGCAGGAAUAAACCUGCCAGAUGUACAGCAGUAGCAUAAGUAGGUGAACAGGCAUAAUUUUCAAGUAUUUUCUUUGAUGGAGAUGAGACCUGAAGUUGUGACCAAAGCACCGCUGCAGCAAGCUCCAACACAUGUAAGCCAUCAAGGGGAUGUUAAAAAACGCCAGCUGGAAAAGAACAGAACCAUAGCUUACUCCCAAGUCCUUGGAAGAGUUUGGUCUUAAUAAUGCAUUAUUAGUGGAUCCUAAGACUAUGCUGCUAUCUGUCUUGGCGUUAGCUAAUUUACUUCAAGCACAGUUGCUUAUAACACAACAGCUGACUUGUGGCUAGUUGUGUAUUUGCCCAUGU
rnacentral:lncRNA from 1 species